GCCAGGGUCAGGGUCACCUGGAUCGAUGACGGAGGACCGACAGUUGUCUGAAUGGUAACAGCAGAACCAGCAGCAGGCCUGCACUGACCAGCUCACGGUGACACCUCCAGGUAAACUCUCACUGCCGACAAAAGAUGGCUAAACAGAUUAGGGGGGAAACAAACAGCAUGGACGGAGCAGAAGGAGAAGAAUGGGAGAGAGAAGUCGUCGAAUUCACAAGUAACAAUUACCGAAAGUGUCGUCGUUGGUUUGAACGACGCGUCCUUCGUCCUUGAGCAAGGUGCGAACCAAUUACAUCUUUGGUGGAGAUGCGACCUUCUCCCACGCUAACCCAAGCCGUUGAAGAGAAGUUCACAUCACAGGAGACGUGACCGUCACCGACAUUGACCCGAUAUGGAGGAGCGACCAUCACCUUCACUGACUCGAGAUGGAGAAGCGACCUUCACCUACACUGACUCACGAUGGAGAGGCGACCUUCACCUACACUGACCCACGAUGGAGAGGCGACCUUCACCUACACUGACCCACGAUGGAGAGGCGACCUUCACCUACACUGACCCGAGAUGGAGAAGCGACCUUCACCUACACUGACUCACGAUGGAGAGGCGACCUUCACCUACACUGACCCACGAUGGAGAGGCGACCUUCACCUACACUGACCCGAGAUGGAGAAGCGACCUUCACCUACACUGACUCACGAUGGAGAGGCGACCUUCACCUACACUGACUCACGAUGGAGAGGCGACCUUCACCUACACUGACCCACGAUGGAGAGGCGACCUUCACCUACACUGACCCGAGAUGGAGAAGCGACCUUCACCUACACUGACUCACGAUGGAGAGGCGACCUUCACCUACACUGACCCACGAUGGAGAGGCGACCUUCACCUACACUGACCCGAGAUGGAGAAGCGACCUUCACCUACACUGACUCACGAUGGAGAGGCGACCUUCACCUACACAGACUCACGAUGAAGAAGCGACCUUCACUUAUACUGACUCACGAUGGAGAGGCGACCUUCACCUACACUCACCCGAGAUGGAGAAGCGACCUCUGACCCGUCAUAUCCAAGAAACAGAAGCGAUUUUCACGCCGACCUACCCAAAAUGUGGAAGCGACCUUGGACCUAAUUGACCUAAGAUGGAACACAGUAAAUGGCCCAUGACCUCAGUACGAAGCAGAGGGUGGCAGACAAGGAACUGAACUGUGGAAAGCGGUGUUGGUUUCAAGCGAGACGUCCCGAGAUUAUGGUGAGUUGGGGCCAGUGCACUCAUGAGAA